rnacentral:lncRNA from 1 species
UCUCCCUCUCUCUCUCUCUCUCUCUCUCUCUCUCUCUCUCUCUCUCCCUCUCUCUCUAACACACAGGAUAGAGUUACCAGUAAAGCGUUCUGGGGUCUUGAACUUAUUGAACAUUUUUAAUCUAUGUGACCUUUACGUGGAGUUCAACAAAUAAAUCCACUAUUCAUUUGACAUUCGACAGUAGAUUUACAAUUCUUAACACAAACAUUAGAACGGAUAGAGCAGCUCGCAUUCGGUACCAGACACUUUCAUAUGAUCACCGUCCAGACGUGUUUUCAGUCACUUCUAUUCUAUGUCCAGUACAGUACAUGGCACACAUGUUGGUUUGUUUAUAGGGGUCGGGGUCAAGUUAACAUCUGUUAGAACAGGGGUAAGGGUCAAGUUAACAUCUGUUAGAACAGGGGUCGGGGUCAAGUUAAAAUCUGUUAGAACAGGGGUAGGGGUCAGUUAACAUCUGUUAGGACAGAGGUAAGGGUCAAGUUAACAUCUGUUAGGACAGGGGUAAGGGGUCAAGUUAACAUCUGUUAGGACAGGGGUCAAGUUAACAUCUGUUAGGACAGGGGUAGGGGUUGAGUUAACAUCUGUUAGAACAAGUCAGUUAUCCUGAAUUGAAGAAAUUCACAUGUAAUUUCUAUUCACUUGAAUUGAACAACUUAAUUUCCACCCCUCCUCCCACCCUGCUCUGAAGGACUGGGUUAUUAGGAUCUACUGUAGUAUUUAUCCUUCCAACUAGAAACAAGCAGAUGUGAUGGUCCUCCACAUAUCAGACUGCAUGUUUAUAUGACCUGGAUCAACUGUUACUAACACAGAAUGGUAUUUAGCAUCAAUCUGUGCAAAGUUUUACUUUGAUAUAGAAACAAAGCAUUCUAAAGCACACCUGUCUCUCUCUCUCUCUCUCUCCUUCUCCCUCUCUCUCUCUCUCUCUCUCUCUCUCUCUCUCUCUCUCUCUCUCUCUCUCUCUCUCUCUCUCUCUCUCUCUCUCUCUCUCUCUCUCUCUCUCUC